UCACUUGAGAAGAACGAUGUGAAGAUUAAAGGAAAAGCUUUAAAAUAAGCCUGCAUAAUGCAUAUUUUAUGCAGGCUUUUAUAGUUCUGUGCCAGAAACGGCGAACAUGGUCCAAUUGUUUGAACUAUAAAGGAAACUAUUCCAGAUUUCCAGAUUUUUAAAUAUGUCACCAAGAUAUAGGUAGUUACACAAAUGAUGUCUUUCUAUUUUUAAUUUCCAAAGCUGCACUCUAAAAACUGCACUCUGGUUGAAAUUCCCCUUCAUAUUUCUAGUUAGAUUUCCUGGUUAGUUUAUCUCACUUCG
rnacentral:lncRNA from 1 species